UGCGCAGGCGGCUUACUAAGUCAGUGGUGAAAUCUUGCGGCUCAACCGUAAAAUUGCCAUUGAUACUGGUAAGCUUGAAUUCAGUUGAGGUUGGCGGAAUGUGUAAUGUAGCGGUGAAAUGCUUAGAUAUUACACAGAACACCGAUUGCGAAGGCAGCUAGCUAAACUGACAUUGACGCUGAGGCACGAAAGCGUGGGGAGCGAACAGGAUUAGAUACCCUGGUAGUC
rnacentral:rRNA from 1 species